GUGAAUCAUCGAAUUUUUGAACGCAAAUUGCACUCUCUGAUAUUCCGGAGAGUAUGCCUGUUUGAGGGUCAGUUAAAUUAAAAUCGGUGUUGUUGCUUGCUUUUGUGGUGAAGCGUCGGAAUUGAGUUGUCUUACCUUCGGUUAAGUGACUUUAAAUUUUUCAUGAUUUUCGUAGGUAUUUAAAUUUUUUAUGUACGUUUGAGAUAUCGAUUAAUUACUUAGGUCCGGUAAUCCCAUUGUCUCG
rnacentral:misc_RNA from 1 species